CACGUAGGGGGCGAGCGUUGUCCGGAUUUAUUGGGCGUAAAGAGCUCGUAGGCGGCUUGGUAAGUCAGGUGUGAAGCCUCCAGGCUCAACCUGGAGACGCCACUUGAUACUGCCAUAGCUAGAGUCCGGUAGGGGAGCGUGGAAUUUCUGGUGUAGCGGUGAAAUGCGCAGAUAUCAGAAGGAACACCAGCGGCGAAGGCGGCGCUCUGGGCCGGAACUGACGCUGAGGAGCGAAAGCGUGGGUAGCAAACAGG
rnacentral:rRNA from 1 species